CCCGCCUGCAUGAAGUUGGAAUUGCUAGUAAUCGCGGAUCAGCAUGCCGCGGUGAAUACGUUCCCGGGCCUUGUACACACCGCCCGUCACACCAUGAGAGCUGCGAACACCCAAAGCCGGUAGCCUAACCGCAAGGAGGGCGCUGUCUAAGGUGGGCGUGGUAAUUGGGGUGAAGUCGUAACAAGGUAGC
rnacentral:rRNA from 1 species